rnacentral:lncRNA from 1 species
UCUAUACAUUUUUACUAUUAUUUUAAUAUAAUUACAUAUUUUUUUAAAUUUAAUAAAUAUAAUAUUGAAUCUGAAUGUCUGAUCAAAUUUAAUGACUAGUGAAUUAAUUAAAUUUACUAAAAUCAUAUUUGCAAAUUUCAUGAGGCAUAAAAUAAAAAAGUUACUUCUACGUUACUGUAUUAGAUUGGUUUUUUAUGGUAUUUUUAGAUUAACUAUUAUUGUUUUAUAUAUAAUAUUAUCAGUUAUAAAAAAAAAAAAUCAUUUUUACAGUUCCAUUGGCUUGAAAUAGCUGGUGUUAUUACAUGAUUUGAGCGACAUAUAAUUUACAUUAUUAUUAUACAAUAAUUUAUACAACAUAUAGGGUCGUCGAAGAUAGAAAAUUUAGACCUCGUUUGGUUUUUUUUUUUAUUUAUUUUCUUUCAAAUUCAAAUUUAUAUAAGAUAGUAUAGAAGAGUAUUGUAAAUUGUUUGUAGUCUUUUCAUUUAAAGAUAUUUGUUUGUAAGUAAGAAAAAUGUUUAGAAACUCUUUUCUUGUGCUUAGUUAUAAAAGAGCUAUAUUUAUACACAUUUUGCUAUAUUAGAUCUUAUAAACUGAGUUAGGCUCAUUUUGUGUUCAACCUAUUUGUGAUUUUUUAGCUGUUAGAUUGCCUCAAAAUAUGUGCGGCGCUAAUAAAACAAAAAAAAUUAAAAAGACACAAUAUUGAUAAUGCUCCACGAAUAUUGAGUGCGACUCGAUGGUUAAAAUUGCAUACAGAUCAAGCUCGAUCAACUCUGUAAAAUUAAUAUUUAAAAUAGGCUAAAGAUAGAAAAACUUUCAUCAAAAUUUGAUUUUUUAUUUUUCUUUUUAUCAUUUAAAAAAGCUUACACUUUGUCCUCUUAAAAAAUAAAAAAUAUUCGCAAGGGGUACGGGUGUUAACUAUGGUGACAAAAUGACCAAAUUAUUUCUCACCCUUUUCGUCUCCUUCCCAAUUCUGGUCAUUCGCAGCCUCUUCUUCUCUGUUCUUUACGCCUCCCUCGACUUCGGCUCCGACUCCGUUUCUUCUAUCUGCUCCCCCGCUCCUUCUGCAUCCUCGUCGUCCCUCCAUUUCGACAGUGAUAGAGAGGAGAUCGAGAUGGGCGUGGGCCGAGAGAUGAGUGAGCGCGAGGGCAAGGCAGUUGAGGGCGAGGACGGUACGGCAGAGGAGGGCGAGGCGGUGCAGUCGAGGACGUCGGUGAUCAAAAGGGAGGGGACGAAUCUGAGAUGAGAAUUACAAAAAUAUUUUGGAUAUAAAAAAAUAUAAUAAUAUAAUAUAAACGGAACUCUAACAGAACAUCGAUAGCGAAAACCAAAGUGAAUAUUUUUUAUUUUUUUAAAAAAAAAUAUAAAUUUUUAAAUGACGAAAAGACAAAGUUAAAACGCAGGUAUCCACAGAAUUUUUUUUUUUUUAAUUUAGUUUUUAAACUACAAAGAAAAGACAAAAAUGUCAGAUGGUAAGUUCUAGUUAUUCCUAAUUCAUUUUUCGAUAGUCUUUGUUUGCCGCUACCAAGCACACGCAGAAUUUGAAUAAGUCAAGCGAAACAACCACUCACAUAUGAAAACAAAAAUCUCCCUCUCCACUCUCAUUAUUUUCAAUGUGAUUUUUUUUUCUAUUUUCCUUGGGUGUCCAUAAUUGACUUGGUGGAAAAAAAAAAAAGAAAAAAAAAAGAAAAAGAAAAAGCAUUGAUUAAUCCACAUGAAAAUGACACAAAAUUAAAGUUGGGUCUAGAUUUUGAAAUUAAAAAAAAAAAAAAAUUAUAUAGGUUCCUUCAGAUAUAGUGAAUUAUAAAUAGACUGGGGCUACUAUACUUUUAUGAGUAUAGACCUCCUUGUACUCAUAAAUUUUUAACCGUUGAUUGAUAGAAUGUGUGGUUAGGAUGAUGGAGGUCCUAACUUAGAAUGAUAGUGGUCCCGUAGGGUUCAGUGGGUUGUUGGUUUAAUAGUAAUAUGAUCUAACGGAUGGAAAUGAUCAAUGAAAUAAAUCUAAGGGCCAAAAACUUAUGAGUAUAAAGGUGCCAAUACUCAUAAAAGUAUAGCAGCCGAACUCUUACAAAUAUAUUCCUAUAAAACUCAACUUUUAUACAUUUUUUUCUAUAAAAGUCUAAUGUUUUCAAAUAUGUCCUCUGAUUUAUUACCGUUAAAACACCGAUUAUUUUAUAGAUGAAAUGAUCGUUUUGCCGUGACAAAUUGGUCUUACCAAAAAUCUCAAUUAUUAAUUGAAGAGGGAUAAAAAUGUCGAUUCACCUCAUUAACUAACCCGAGUUAAAUAUUUUACCUAUGUUGUUUAACUAUUUUUUUUCUUACGGAUCCUAACGGUAGAAACAUAUUUAAAAAUAUUAAAAUUUUUAUAGAGACAGUAUAUAAAAGUUGAACUUUAUAGAAAUGUAUUUGUAAUUCACUAUAUUUGUAGUGACCCAUAUGCAAUUAACAUUUUAAAAAAUAGCCUCUUGGGGUACGCUUAAUCAGGAUGUUGAUCAAAUAUUCAUUUACAAAUAUUCUUCUAAACUUUUGAAAAUUAUAUAUUUGUCACACAAACUUUUGAUUUUUUUUCUUUUUUUUUUUGUAAUUAAUCACUAUAGAUUGUAUUCUAUUAAUAAUUUGAAUUGACUAAGUUCAGGAACUAAGUAACAGUACAAGGAUAGUAGAGAGGCCAUCUAUAUAUUUUUUAAAAAAUACAACAUGUAUAGGGGUAUUAAACGUUUAAAAAAAUAAACUUCAAAUAUCACCCUAGUAGUUUCGCAUUUUCUCACUUUAGUGCCCUAUGAUUUAAAGCGUAUCAAUUUUGUACCCUAUAGUUUCAUUUUUUUCUCUUCGCAAGUCCCCCCGUUAACUUUUCGUUAAAUCAUAUACACAAAAUUUCAGAUACCCCACCUACGAUUUAUCGAAUAUUCACCUUUGUACCUUUUAGUUUUAACUUGGUCACCGAUUUAACAAAAAAAUUAGUAGAGGAGAUAAUGAAAAAAACAAAAUAAAAUCACUAGGUACGAAAGUGAUACAUUUUAAAUCAUAGAAUAUUUAAGUGAGAAAAUGUGAAACCACAGAUGUGGUAUUUGAAAUUUUUUCUUAAAUUUUUUUUUUUUUUUGAAUCAGCGACAAAAUUAAACUAAAAGGUACUAAAAUGAAUAUUCGAUAAACUAUAGGUGUGUGUCUGAAGUUUUUAAAAAUGAUUUAGCGAAAGGUUAACAGAGGGGUUGACGAAAAGGGAAAAAUAAAACUCAGGAUACUAAAUUAAGCCGCAGAUUACUAAAGUGAGAAAGUGUGAAAUAACAUGAGCGAUAUUUAAAGUUUAUUCGAAUUUAAAACAAAAGACAAGAGAACAUUGUAUGGUCAAUCAAUGUACAUGAGUCAGGUCAAUAGACCUAAAAUUUGUCCCCACCAACUAAAUUGAUCAAAUUUUAUUGGGAGACAGAGUAAAGAAAUAUCCCUAUCCACCGCAUUAAAUAAUGAGUGACAUGGCGAUACCUACUAUUCCUAUUGAAAUGUCACCAUUACCAUUUUCAUACGGCUUAUAUAUUUCAUUCUAGAAUUUACAAAAAAAAAAAAAAAAAAUUAAAUAUGAAAAAAAUUAAUAUGAUUGGUUAAAAAAAGUGAUUUUUAGAUAUUUUACAAAUUAAGUGUAGAGAUAACAUAACUUUUUAGUUGAAUAGAACCACUCAUUUUGUCCCUCUUUAUAUCUCCUUGUUGUUGAUGAUUAUAAAAAUAUUCUUCAUCAUUAUUAGGAUUUUUAUCUCUAUGAUCAACAUAGUUAGUGCCAUCUAAUAUAAAAUCCAAGGGAAAAUUAACUUGGAAAAGACCCCAAUCUCUUAGAUAACAUUAUGAGCAGGUUAGGUUCGAAUUAUGCAGUAUUAUUAUAAGGAAUAAUUGUCUAUAUACCCCUUCAUUAUUCUAAAAUAUUUCUGCGGUUAUCAUCCGUUAAGUUAACUUAGAUUAAACGUGAAUUAAAUAUCUGCCAGAGUUAAAAAAUAUUAAUGAUGGUAGAAGGAUAUAUUUGAAAAGACCAAAAAUCAAAAUAUUUUUAUGUUCCAACUUAAGAGCAAAUAAAAAAUAUUGGUUAUGACAUAAUGGUAUAUUGAAAGAGCAAAAUAAUAAUUUCAUAAAUAUAACAUUUGUUGCUAACAGUUUAUUAACAGAAUUUAACUCUAUGGAUAUAUUUGAAAUAGAUUGGAACGUAAUAAAAGUAUUUUCAAUAUUAGUUUUUUUAAGAAAGGUAAAUUAAAAAGUCAAAAAUUUUUCUGGUAUAUAACCAAUUGCCCCUAUUAUUAAUUAGGGAUAAUUGCCUAUAUAUCCUUCAUACGUUUGAAAAUAUCCGAUUUACCCAUACUCUUUUUUUUUUUUUCUUUCUAAAAUACCCCUCAUAUGUUCCACCGUUAUUGCAAAAUACCCCGCAGUUAUCUCCUAUUAAGUUAACCUGGGUUAAACGUGAGUUAAAUAUCUACCACAGUUAAAAAAAAAUAAAAUGCCAAUUUUGUCCUUAACUUAAGGGCAAAUAAGAAAUGUUGGUGAUUGUAGAGGGGUAUAUUGGAAAAGGCCAAAAGUCAAAAUACUUUUUGUGCCUCUGACUUUAAGGGCAAAUAAGAAAGACGGUGAUGGUAGAAGGGUAUAUUUAAAAGGGCAAAAUAGUAAUUUUACAGAGAUAACAAAGUUACUUAACAGAUUUUAACUCUAAGAAUAUAUUAGAAAUAUGUUGGAACGUAGGAGGAGUAUUUUCAAUAUUAGCGUUCUAAGAGAGGUAAAUUGGAAAGUCGGAAAUUUUUCAGGAGUAUAUAAGCAAUUGCCCCUUAAUUAGCUUUUAAUUAUUACUAUUAAUACUUACAUUCAAAAUAGUGACUCGAUUUAUAUAUUUCAGUAAAUCUGACAGUAAAAUCUUAUUAUUUCAAAUAUAUAUUCUAUGGACAAUAAUAAAUUAUUUUAUACAGUAAAUUUUAGAACGACUUGAAUUAUUUUAUAACAAUUCUAUUUAUAAGCCAACCGUAUGCUUUAAACGAGUCUCGUAGUUUAAGAAAACUACUGCUAGCACAGUUGAUAAUAAUAUGCUAACUAUUUUUCUGCGUAAGAAUCAAGUUAUACUAUUUUAUUAGAAUUCCAAAAUGAGGUGGGGGUGGUAGUAGAAUCAUAAUCUAAAUAAAUAGAUUUGGUAAUUUAAUUACUUGUGCAAUUCCCAAUUUUUUUUUUUUAAUUUUUUUUUUUUUACCAAUUCCUCCUCUAACGGUCAAAAAAAGGCGAACCCACGCGCCCCGUGAUUGACUCCGACCCAAAAAACAAAAGAAAAUAAAAAAAGAGCCGUUGAAAAGUCAGAAUUUAAAAUCCCCCAACCCCCACGAAACCCUACCCACCGUUCACUCCGAUCCGCGCCGAUCCGCGCCGAUCCGAGCCGAGGGGCGGGCUACGGACGCCAAAGGCCGGACUCCAAACCCCGGUUUAUGGCGGACUCCAAAUCCCGAGAAUUAAUCGGGUUGAAUAAGAAAAGCGACGCGCCCGUGACGGAUGGCCCCAGAAUCCCCAUCCGCCCCACUUUACCUUUUCCUCACCCCUCCCACAUUUUUUUUUUUAAAUAAUUAAUAAUUAAUAAUAAUAAUAAUAAUAAUUAAUAAUUAAUAAUUAAUAACAAAUAAUCAUUAGUUUAUUUUUUUGUAUUAAAUUAUUAUUAUUAUUUUUCGGUUUCCGAAAUUGCCCCUCGGAAAGAUCCCCCGCCCCUCCCCACUACGCCCUCACUACUUUUUCGCUCUUCCCAUAAUACACCUCACCACCGUACACUUCGCUCUUGUUGUUAAUAUUAUUAUUACUAUUAUUAUUCGCAACUUGUGCCUUUUCCUACUAUACCCUCUUCAAACAAACGCUUCUCUCUCCUCCUUCUCCCUCCCUCCCUCUUUCUCUCUCUCUCUAGCAUCUGAGAGAGUCUCUAAUGGCGGAUUCGGGAAACCCUAAGAGGGCGAGGGGGGAGGAGGAGGAUGAGGAAGGGGAGAGAGGGGAGGCGAAGAGGCUCAGGGCGGAGGAGCUCCUCGAGAUCCUCGACGGCGACGACGCCGCCGCGGCGGAGGAGCUCGCGUCCGUGAUGCGGAGCUUCGAGGAGGAGAUCGCGGCGGCUUCGCCCCCGCCGCCGCGAUCGGCGGCGGCGGAGGUUGCCGGAGAUGGGAGGGAGAUGGAUCUGGGGUACCUGUUGGAGG